GGCGCUUUCUACAGUUCCCCUUCCCCGCUGCUCCAUCCUACAGUCAUGUGCCACCAUCAUUUUCGCCAUGUGUUUCAAGAGAGGUGCGAGCAAGAGGACAUCUGAUGCCCCCCCGGCGCCUAAGCGCCUGCCCGAAAGGUUGACAGGUCGGAACACCCGUACAUUGAUGGCCGCCGCAGAGGAGAUGGCUUUGGUGGUACAUGAGGGCGCAAGUUCGCCUCCGAAGGCGAAGAUGGAAAAUCCGCCCAUCCUUUCUCCUUUGAUUCUGAGGAUAGCAACCCAGCUUCGGGAGCGUGUCCUGGCUUACGGCGUUCCCGCGGAGCGUCCUCUACUUCCCGCUACCGUGGCUCACCCUAGCGAGGACUUUCCGGCAAUCCGGCGGGAGGAGUCCAUUUUUUUCAGUUUUGUGCUGGUGGUGCUUGUCCCCCUAUUUGCCAGGUUCUUUUUGGAUAUUCUUGAUGCUACCACAUUAACUUGAUUCAUUUGACACCCAACUCCAUCCUCAAUUUGUCUAUUUUCUCUCAUUUCUGUGAGAUGUUUGUCGGGGUUAUGCCCUCAGUGGCCCUAUGGCGUUGUACCCUACUUCCCAGUGCGACCCUCGAAUUCCUGGGAGUUGUUACUUCUGCUUGCGUGGUCACCACGAGGUAGAGUACCCGGCGCAUCAGUUUCGUUCCAAAUGGGACGAUUGGGAAAAGUCCCGGUGUUACAUCUAGGCAGAUGUGGGGUUAUCUACCUGGAUCCCUACUACGAGGGCGGUUCAUCGGGACGACUGGCAAAUCCCCUCCCAUGAAGACUACAAGAUGUGACCCGUUUCUGAUCUGGUGCACUUGAUGCGCUCCAGGGGGCUGACGACCGCCAAGGUGGUUGCUGAUUUUGUCAGGCGCCGUUUGCCUCCUCUGAAGAAGCGGAACCGGGCCGCCUGGACAUAUACGGAUGUGAAUGUCAUCGGUCGGACCCACUUCGGCCCAAAUAGCGUCCUUAGCGACGUGGCCAUGCUGAAGGUGGUGAAGAAGAUCCUGGUGGAUGAUUGCAGCUCCUUGGCCCCUCCAGAGGGAGUGGCGCCCCUGGCUGAGGAUCGCAUUCGGUUGGAGAUUCUCCACUACCUCCCUCUCUGCGACUCCAAAGGUGUCUGCCAAGGUUCAUCAGGGACGAUUCAGAUUGGGCAGCCGACUAGGACGACCGGGGAGGACUUCCUGAAUCGUAGUCCCGACAAAUGCUGCAACUACCGCCCAAUUUUUCCACCAGCUCCUUUUGGGGUUUCAUUUCUCGCCGUAAGUUUUAUUCCGCAUGAAUCCAUGAUUUUUUUACAUGUAUCCUCGUUGUUGGCUUAUACCUUUUCUUGUUAUGUCAGCUCUACGAAUGACGUUGGUUUUCCAGUGCAGGCCAGUGCUUUUGAGAACAACCUUCAUGAAUUUCUGACCUAGGGGAAGGGAGGUGGUCGACACCAAUCUCUUCACCAUGUCCCUCACCUCCCCGACUGCCUCCCCGGAACUGCUGCCCCACCAAGUAAUGGGGUUCAAAGCGGUCGCCUGGGCACUGGGCCUGGACCCAGUGGCGGACCUAGAGGCCCUGUACUAGGCAGCGGCCCCAUGCAUAGACUUACCCGAAGAGUUAAUCGAGGUCGGCCCCUCGGGGUACCUCAGUUCUCCUGAGGACGCCGCUCAGGGAGGGGGUGUAACACCCCGGAUGUAACUUUCCAUAUUUGUAACUCCAACUCUUGCCAUUUUCGGCUAUGUGUUAUGAUAUUCCCUCCGUGGUCGG
rnacentral:rRNA from 1 species